AAAUAUUUUUUUCGUCAGAGAAGAUACAUUUCUUGGAAAAGUUAUGAUGAAAAAAGUAAAUUCAAAUCUUGGAGGCAAACAAGGGAAAGAAAUAGGAUAAAAUCGUGCCUUAAUUAAUUAAAAUUAGUUCUGCCUGAUAGUGCAGGAUUCGGAAAUUUUAGUUUUAGUAAUAUCCAAAAAAGUAGGUAAGAAAGUUAUUUUUUUCUAAGUUAAAAAAAAAAAAAAAAAGAAAAAGCAAGAAAUAGUUGAAUUUUUCAUUAAGGCUGAACCGAUAGUCGAUCACGAAGGAUUUGUUCAUAAGACUAGCCGAUAAAGUAGGUUUCUAAAGAUCCUCGUGUACAGAAGUGGAUCGAAUCUCGAUUAAAACAGUAGACGGUAGUGGGAAAGGAGUAUGUCGAGUCAGAAAUCCGGUUAAAACCAGACACGGUUGUCGGUGUUUUGUGGCUUGAACAGAAUACGCUGGGAAAUCACGCCGUUUACAGAGGUUUAGACGCUUACCGAGUCUCUGCGCGUACAGGCAUAUAACACACAUUGCCCGCAUUUGUAAGCGCUAGUGGAGAAGCAGCACAACCACCGCCAAGAAUCAGCUGAUAGGAUUACACGUGAUACUCAUAUCAUCAUCGCUAUAAGACAUAGUGAUAAUUUUUGAAAAUUCAUGACUGAAAAAUUGUUAAAAACUGUUAUCUCUUAACGUGAAUCUAAAUAAAAUCAAUCCCAAGAACUUUUCACGAGUGCGGAAUU